AACGAACGCUGGCGGCAUACCUAACACAUGCAAGUCGAACGAGACCUUCGGGUCUAGUGGCGCACGGGUGCGUAACGCGUGGGAACCUGCCCUUAGGUUCGGAAUAACUCCCCGAAAGGGGUGCUAAUACCGGAUAAUGUCUUCGGACCAAAGAUUUAUCGCCUUUGGAUGGGCCCGCGUUGGAUUAGCUAGUUGGUAGGGUAAAAGCCUACCAAGGCGACGAUCCAUAGCUGGUCUGAGAGGAUGAUCAGCCACACUGGGACUGAGACACGGCCCAGACUCCUACGGGAGGCAGCAGUGGGGAAUAUUGGACAAUGGGCGAAAGCCUGAUCCAGCAAUGCCGCGUGAGUGAUGAAGGCCUUAGGGUUGUAAAGCUCUUUUACCCGGGAUGAUAAUGACAGUACCGGGAGAAUAAGCGCCGGCUAACUCCGUG
rnacentral:rRNA from 1 species